AUGUAUCACUCAAUCUUUGUUCUUCUUCUUUUCUUGUUAUCUUUCUUUGUAUAUAGUUCUCUUUCUGACCCAAGAGCCACAGAGGCUGCUCUUAUAUGCACAAACAAAUCAGCAGCCUUGUCUGAGCGUCAAACUUUCAUAGCAAACUUCUUGGCAACCAUGGACACUACGACCCCAUUGGUUGCCACACAAAGAUAUGCAGCUGUCAUGAAUGGGGCUGGUAAUACCACAGUUUACACCUUUGGUGAGUGCAUGAAAGAUCUCUCUUAGACAGACUGUGAUCUCUGUUUUGCACAGAGCAAGACCCGGAUACAAUACUGCUAUCCAUUUGUAAGAGCCAUUCGUGGAGGCAGGCUUUUCAUGGACGGGUGUUAUCUCAGGUGCGAUGACUACAAUUUCUUCAAUGAUACUUUGGAUUCACAAGACGGCCGUGUGUGGGACACAAGAUUUUGUGGGGAACCGUAGUGUUUUUGGAGCUAAUGUAGAAGAGUUGGUGAGGAAUCUGAGUGUGGAAGCGCCUAAGAAUGAUAAUUUCUUUGUGGGGUUCGUGAAUAAAGGAAAUAUAAUGGUUUAUGGAUUGGCUCAGUGUUGGGAAUUAGUGAGUAGGACUGGUUGUGAGAGGUGCUUGGCCAAUGCUUUCUAUAAUAUCAGUUCAUGUACUCCAAAGGAAGAAGGAAGAGUCUUGAAUGCUGGGUGUUACAUGAGGUAUUACACUCAAAAGUUUUAUUAUAAUUCAAGUAAUACAGUAGGAGGAAAUAAUAUUCAUCAAGGAUACCGCUUAGCUAUUACUUUGGCUGCAACAAGUUCUGCUUUGGCACUUGUUUUGGUUGUAACAACUGUUGUUUUUAUUGUGAGGAAGAAAAUAUUGAAGAAGAGGAGAGAGAGAAAGCUAGUAGGCGAUCUGCUGGCCACCUUAAAUAAGUCCAAACUUAAUUUUUCAUAUGAAAUUCUAGAAAGGGCCACAAAUUUCUUUCAUAGUUCCAAUAAGCUGGGACAAGGAGGUUCUGGUUCAGUUUACAAGGGAGUUUUACCGGAUGGGAGAGUUGUUGCUGUUAAGAGGCUCUUCUUCAAUAGUGUACAAUGGGUGGAUCAUUUCUUUAAUGAAGUCAAUUUGAUCAGUGACAAUGUGACAUCAAUCACAAAAAUCUAGUAAAACUAUUGGGAUGCAGCAUUACAGGCCCUGAAAGCCUUCUUGUUUAUGAAUAUGUGCCAAAUCAAAGCCUUCAUGAUUACUUUUCUGUUAAAAAGAAUCUUCAGCUGCUAAGGUGGGAUGUGAGGUACAAAAUCAUAUUGGGUACAGCUGAGGGCUUGGCCUACCUUCAUGAGGAAUCAAAAUUGAGAAUAAUUCAUAGAGACAUAAAAUUAAGCAAUAUUCUUCUCAAUGAGGACUUUAUGCCAAAGAUUGCAGACUUUGGACUUGCUAGAUUAUUUCCAGAAGAUAAGACUCACAUCAGCACUGCAAUUGCUGGCACAUUGGGUUACAUGGCUCCGGAAUAUGUUGUUCAUGGCAAGUUGACUGAGAAGGCAGAUGUUUACAGUUUUGGAGUUCUAAUCCUUGAAGUUGUAUGUGGAAAGAGAAAUAGUUCAUUUUCCGAAAAUUCUUCUAUCCUACAAAUGGUUUGGAAUCUUUAUGUAGCGGGUAGGCCAUGUGAAGCAGUUGAUCCAGAAUUAGAGGCUAAUUUUCAAGAAGUGGAAGCAUCUCAAUUACUUCAAAUAGGCUUACUUUGUGUACAAGCAUCUGCAGAACUGAGGCCAUCGAUGCCAGUAGUUGUGAAAAUGCUAACUCAUAGUCAAGACAUUCCUCAACCAACACAGCCACCAUUUCUUAAUUCUAGCAUUAGAGAAGCUAACCAAAUUGUUCCACUUAGAGCUUAUAAUUUUCAGCUUGAUUCGGACACCCAGACUUCAGGGAACAGCAUGACAGAAAGCUUGAUUGAUCCUAGAUGAACAUUUAUUUUAUUCACUUUUUCAUGGGAACCCAUGUCACCAGGUGUUGCUGUUGCCAACUUGAAAUUCCUAGCUUUCCAGUGUGUUCCUUCUUGAAUUAGUACAGAGGAGAUUCUUGCUCAAAGAGGCAACAUUAUUCUGAGCUCAUAUGGCUCAAGUGACUAGGUCAGGUAACAGUCCUUGGGGAGCCUAAUGAAGAUCAUAAUUCAUAGGAUACAAAGUGAUCCAGGGCUAUGACCUGUACCAGGUGCUAAAAUACUG